rnacentral:snRNA from 1 species
AGAUGUGAGGGUGAUCUGGCUGUGACAUGUCACCCCAUUGAUAGCCAGGGUUGAUUCUGCUGAUCUGGCUGGCUGGGGGCAGGGUGUCUCCUUCCUCCCUCACUGCUCCACGUGUGUCCCUCCCGAAGCCACACACUUGGUUGAAGAGGAUGGUAGAGGAGAGGACCUCCAAUAGAGGAGAACCAUUCUUUUUUUAAGAGUAUACGAGUAGUUGCGCUCCCCUGCCAGAACCUCCAAACAGGCUCUCAAAAUAGAAAGAUAUAUUAAUAUGUCAUCUUUUCAGAUGAGGAGAAAAUUAUCCAAAAAAUUUGAGGUUGCUUCUGAAAAUCACACAUAGGAAGGUGGGAUUCCUUC